rfam:Rhodococcus fascians strain 1168 contig506, whole genome shotgun sequence.
GCGCCAUUAGCUCAGUUGGUUAGAGCAGCUGACUCUUAAUCAGCGGGUCCGGGGUUCGAAUCCCUGAUGGCGCA